rnacentral:rRNA from 1 species
UACGUAGGUGACCAGCGUUGUCCGGAUUUACUGGGCGUAAAGAGCGCGCAGGCGGUCGUUCAAGUCGAGUGUGAAAGCCCCCGGCUCAACCGGGGAGGGUCACUCGAUACUGAUCGACUUGAAGGCAGGAGAGGGAAGCGGAAUUCCCGGUGUAGUGGUGAAAUGCGUAGAUAUCGGGAGGAACACCAGUGGCGAAGGCGGCUUCCUGGCCUGUUCUUGACGCUGAGGCGCGAAAGCUAGGGGAGCAAACGGG